AUUGAACGCUGGCGGCAGGCCUAACACAUGCAAGUCGAGCGGAUGAUGGGAGCUUGCUCCUUGAUUCAGCGGCGGACGGGUGAGUAAUGCCUAGGAAUCUGCCUGGUAGUGGGGGACAACGUUUCGAAAGGAACGCUAAUGCCGCAUACGUCCUACGGGAGAAAGCCGGGGAACUUCGGGCCUUGCGCUAUCAGAUGAGCAUGGUGCGGAUUAGCUGGUUGGGUGGGUAAUGGCUCACCAAGGCGACGAUCCGUAACUGGUCUGAGAGGAUGAUCAGUCACACUGGAACUGAGACACGGUCCAGACUCCUACGGGAGGCAGCAGUGGGGAAUAUUGGACAAUGGGCGAAAGCCUGAUCCAGCCAUGCCGCGUGUGUGAAGAAGGUCUUCGGAUUGUAAAGCACUUUAAGUUGGGAGGAAGGGUUGUAGGUUAAUACUCUGCAAUUUUGACGUUACCGACAGAAUAAGCACCGGCUAACUCUGUGCCAGCAGCCGCAGUAAAAC
rnacentral:rRNA from 1 species